AUUGGCAUUAUGAACAUGAGAAUCUUUAACUUUAUAUGUGUUUUUCUUAUUGGAUCGGUCUAUUCUACUAUAUGUACAAACAAAAAAGGUGAAAAUUAUUGCUGUUCUGGUUACAUGUUGAACGUAGAAUCAAACAAGUGUGAAAAAUGUCCAAAUGGAUAUACCGGAGCUGAAUGCCUGUACAGAUGUAUUUAUCCUGCCUUUGGAGAAGAUUGUCUUCAAAAAUGCAAUUGUACCGAGGACAUAUGUGAUUUUAUCAAUGGAUGCCAUUUUAAAAGUCUUC